rnacentral:rRNA from 1 species
GAUGAACGCUAGCUACAGGCUUAACACAUGCAAGUCGAGGGGAAACGAUAGAGAAAGCUUGCUUUUUCUAGGCGUCGACCGGCGCACGGGUGAGUAACGCGUAUCCAACCUGCCCAUCACUUGGGGAUAACCCUUGCGAAAGUAAGACUAAUACCCAAUGACGUCUCUAGAAGACAUCUGAAAGAGAUUAAAGAUUUAUCGGUGAUGGAUGGGGAUGCGUCUGAUUAGCUUGUUGGCGGGGUAACGGCCCACCAAGGCGACGAUCAGUAGGGGGUUCUGAGAGGAAGGUCCCCCACAUUGGAACUGAGACACGGUCCAAACUCCUACGGGAGGCAGCAGUGAGGAAUAUUGGUCAAUGGACGAGAGUCUGAACCAGCCAAGUAGCGUGCAGGAUGACGGCCCCUAUGGGUUGUAAACUGCUUUUAUAAGGGAUAAAGUGAGUCUCGUGAGACUUUUUGCAUGUACCUUAUGAAUAAGGACCGGCUAAUUCCGUGCCAGCAGCC